rnacentral:tmRNA from 1 species
GGGGAUGCCAGGCAUCGACAGUGGGUCAAAAUAUUCUUAGCAAGUCGAGCGCGCAGGAUGCGCUCGUAAAUAUCAUUCUGCAUUCAAGACAUGCAAACGUCUUUACGCAGGUGAAGAACGCGAUUGCGAAAGCGAUCACGCCUUCAUUUGCACCAGCUUUCGCUUAAUAACGGAAGCCAUCGGAUUUUCUCUGCCCUGGGGAAUUGUUCCGGUGUCAAUUAAGGGCUAGGAAUUAGUUUGCUUUAGCAGAAACUAAUUCGACUCUUGCACUGCCAAACGGUUAUUGGGAUUCUUCGUUUUCCGGUUAUCUCAAAAUCGUCAAAAUAAAGGAAGACUAAACUUGUAGAAUAAGUCUAUCGCGAUCUAUUGGACGCGAGUUCAAUUCUCGCCAUCUCCACCC